rnacentral:tRNA from 1 species
GGAAGGGUGCAGCUCAGUGGCAGAGUACGUGCUCAGCACGCACAAGGUCCUGGGUUCAAUUCCCAGCACCUCCA